GAUGAACGCUGGCGGCGUGCCUAAUACAUGCAAGUCGAGCGAACAGACGAGGAGCUUGCUCCUCUGACGUUAGCGGCGGACGGGUGAGUAACACGUGGAUAACCUACCUAUAAGACUGGGAUAACUUCGGGAAACCGGCGCUAAUACCGGAUAAUAUAUUGAACCGCAUGGUUCAAUAGUGAAAGACGGCUUUGCUGUCACUUAUAGAUGGAUCUGCGCCGCAUUAGCUAGUUGGUAAGGUAACGGCUUACCAAGGCAACGAUGCGUAGCCGACCUGAGAGGGUGAUCGGCCACACUGGAACUGAGACACGGUCCAGACUCCUACGGGAGGCAGCAGUAGGGAAUCUUCCGCAAUGGGCGAAAGCCUGACGGAGCAACGCCGCGUGAGUGAUGAAGGUCUUCGGAUCGUAAAACUCUGUUAUUAGGGAAGAACAAAUGUGUAAGUAACUAUGCACGUCUUGACGGUACCUAAUCAGAAAGCCACGGCUAACUACGUG
rnacentral:rRNA from 1 species